rnacentral:rRNA from 1 species
CGAUGAGUGGCGGACGGGUGAGUAACGCGUGGGCAACCUGGCCUGUACAGGGGGAUAACACUUAGAAAUAGGUGCUAAUACCGCAUAACGGGAGAAGCCGCAUGGCUUUUUCCUGAAAACUCCGGUGGUACAGGAUGGGCCCGCGUCUGAUUAGCCAGUUGGCAGGGUAACGGCCUACCAAAGCGACGAUCAGUAGCCGGCCUGAGAGGGCGGACGGCCACACUGGGACUGAGACACGGCCCAGACUCCUACGGGAGGCAGCAG